UAUGUGAUCGUCUCUCGCAUAUCAAUAAGCGGAGGAAAAGAAACUAACAAGGAUUCCCCUAGUAACGGCGAGUGAAGCGGGAAGAGCUCAAAUUUGAAAUCUUAAAGGGUUUCCCUUUACGAAUUGUAGUUUAAAGAAGUGUUUUCUGUUGAGGUUUUGGUAAAAGUUCUUUGGAAUAGGACAUCAUAGAGGGUGAGAAUCCCGUAUUUGACCUUUACUUUCAACUUUGUGAUACACUUUCAAAGAGUCGGAUUGUUUGGGAAUGCAGUCCAAAAUGGGUGGUAAAUUUCAUCUAAAGCUAAAUAUUGGCGAGAGACCGGUAGCGAACAAGUACCGUGAGGGAAAGAUGAAAAGAACUUUGAGAAGAGAGCUAAACAGUACGUGAAAUUGUCAAAAGGGAAGCGUUUGACACCAGUGUUGUUUUUCUGAAAAUCAAUUAAAGAACUGUUUAUGCUAAGUUGUUUAGACUUUAUCAGCUAACUGUUUAGUUUUGAGCUUUUCUUUAAUGCACUUUUCAGUUAACAAGUCAACAUCAAUUUCUUUUGCUGUAAAAAAGCUUGAGGAAGGUGGCUUGAGAUUCGUCUUAAGUGUUUAUAGCCUCUUGCCUAUGCAGUCGGAGAGAUUGAGGUCUGCAGCGUAGAUCCUUCGGGGCUAAAUGCAUUUGUGCUAAGUUAUAGCAUUUUAUAGACAACUUGUUGACUAUGAUUUGUCUUGUAGCUUACUCGCUUAUGUUAUUUUACCUACGCUUAGGAUGUUGAAGACUCUACAGAGAUA
rnacentral:rRNA from 1 species